AGAGAGAGAGGACAGCUGGCUGAACGCGGGCCGGCGGCGCCCCACCGCUGCGCCUCCGCCCGCGGCGGCGACCCUGGCGGGAUGGGACCCGGGACGGGGCUCAGCCUCGUCCGUAGCCAGCUUUUUGAGGAAGUCAAACGAAAACACGAUUUAAGCCGACCAGUGCACCAGCCCAAGUGAUCUGUCUGGCCUUCCUCAAAGGAGCUGCUGCCGAACUGCGGGCCACAGCUGGUCUGAGGAUUUCUCUGCCCCAGGAACAGGCUGUGGCUCCUGAGAAGCCAGUCUCUGAAGCCAGGGCAGGAAUGCCCAGAGCACCACUUUCUUGGCUCCGACUUUCUGCAUGGGAUCAAGCCUGCUCACCCAGCCAUUACAGGGAGCACCAAGUCUGCUGACUCAAGUGGGCUUAAAGCUGCCGAGGGCUGCUUUUAGUAAUAAGUUCAAGAAAUUGUUAAUGUAGCACUUCACAAGUAAUGAAGAGGCAUUAGGGUGAUUUGGUUCCUAGGAUAUACUCUGAUGAAGAACUUCUGUCCUUCUCUGAAAAUGAAAAUGAAUUUAACUCCUGGGAAAUACUGUGUAAAGUUUGAAAAGUUAGGUAAAUAUUGAGAGUUCUAGACAGCCCUAGUCCCAAGUACAACACUUUGUGUGUACAUCAUUAAAGUCCGUUAGUCUUCAGUUUCACACUACUCUCCCCACCUCACUCCCAGCUCAAAACGUCUCAGAAAUUCCCUCUUACCCCCUCCUUCAGUUCUAAAGGUUUCAAUACGUAAGAAAAUGAGACGUCUAUGACCUUUUGUUAUGUAACUGUCAACCCAUUUACAAAUGAGGAAAAUUUCAGUAACUUGUUCAAGGUCACAGAGCAAGUUACCGGCAGAGCCUAGUUAGACCUGUGUCUGUUCCUGGCAACUUGCAUUACACAGGCAUGUCACCACAGAAGAACCUGAUCUUCAAAGAGAUUUUUUAAAAAUCUGUGGCCGUAUUUCCCUCCUAAGGACUGUGUUCACUCAUAUGCCUCCUUGCAGCCCUCCCAUCCGGGGCCUUUAGAUCUGAAUCAUCAGUCAAGGUUUUAAGUAUUUACAUAUGUAAGACGAUCUGAAUUCAGACUUGAUUCUUUUUAGAGAGAAAUGGUGCAAAGAUGAGAGGUUCCUGGCAGCUCAGGAACAUGUAAGUACUGACCUCAUGGAUUCCCCUCCUACAUCACCAAACAUCAGGAGCUCCCCCCUGGUUUGGACACAGCUCUUAACAAGAACAGUUUUACAGAUGGCUGGAUGGGACAAACAUUUAGAUUUGAAAGGGGUAAAUGGAGCAGCAGAAACCAAUUUACUUCCAAUGCAGUAAUCUCUCCUGCUAAGGGAUUAGAGCAGCCUUGGAAAAAGUGACCAGCCAAGCGGCAGUGUGCUACAGGAGAAAAAGAUCACACAGUACAGCCCUGGGCUGGAGCCCAGCUCUGCCAGCUGCUGACUGUGGGUCACUUUGAGGACUAUGUGAGCACAGUAUGACUCAGGAAAUGCUCCGCAGCUGAACCACCACAUCAGUCCUUGGUCCUCUUCAAAUCAGAGACGAUGUCCGACUUACAGCAAGUUUUGGGCUUUUCCUCCUACCUGUUCCCACUGCGAGGAGUGGCCCUUCCUAUACUCACAAAGCCAGGGCAGGGGAGGGAGAGGAGGGGCAGCUCCAAGCCGGUGCCUGGCCCUGGGCUGACUCAGCUACCACACCCUGGUGGGCGGCGGGUUUCACCAUCUCCCUGUAAAAUUCCCCACAGGUUGUGUGGUCGGCUAGAAAGCCUUGUGCUACAUCAUCCUCUCCAAAGUGCUUAGCAGACAAAAAAGGUUUAUUAAAAUGUUAGUUAUUACAUACCACUUUUUCUCUGAGGGACUGCCACCCAAGCUCAAAAUAAGAUGUGAAAGUAAACUUCUGGAAAAUAACUUUUAUGUAAAUUGGAAAUUCCCACUACAUCUCUCUGGGGCACCAUCUGGAUUGUAAAAAAGUAAUUUAUUCACUGCUUAUACAAUAGAGUAUUUAUAAUUGUCUUGAGAAACUUGGGAUCGUGAAGCUGGAAAACAUUUGUGACUUCAGAAUAAAUUUGCUGUUGGUUUACAUACGUUAGUAUGAGACGGAAGCCCUUGUAUGAUGAAGAGUUGUGAUUCUGUGCCCUCUGACCCAUGCUCCCUGGUCCUGCUGUUUACAAGCACUCUGAAGGCAGGGCUGUGAGUCAGCACCCUCAGCACCCAACACACCACCACUACUAUGGCAGACACGUUCCUGUCAAUGACGACGACCGCGACAUUGCUUUCUGGCUGCAGUGUCCAUACCCUGCUGGGUUCCUCAGGGAUACUCCGCAGGCAGGACUCCAGAAGGAGGGGCCCACCCUGGCCUGGGGGACUGUAAGAAUUUCCUGAUGAAGGUAGGUAAGUAAAUUAGGGGGUACACUGCUGGACGUUCCCACAGCAUCCUUCUCUCUGGCUGCGAUUAACACAGGAUCAGGUGUAUGAGAGAGCUCGACAUACUGAUUGCGGAAUUUAUAGAUGGAAUAUGAAAUUCCUCCUGGGCUCUGGCCAGGGAGUAUUGACUAAGCUCCAUCUCUGAAUCUGCAUAUUGGUACUUCAAAGUUGUUCUUGUUCAAUUACUCAUGCUUCAAUUUGUCUUCCUCUCAGAGAAACGAGAUCCGCUCAAUGAGGGUCAAUAUCCAACAACUUGCUCUGUUUGGCACGGACUUCCUGCCCCCUUGGUAAAAGGCAUAAAAUCACAAUCCUGAGAACAAUCAUUUACACCAUAAAAAUUAGUUAAUGUAAGCCAAAUGAGAAUGUAUUGCAUGGUUUUGUGGGAGGUUAUAAGUGCAAAAACAACUACUAAUUUAAAUACCAUCUCCCUAAGGUUGGGGGAGAGGGCAGGGAUAAAGAUUUGGGAUUUUCCACAAAGCACCAUAAACAAGAGAAUGUUAAAAUCAAACUGACGACUGCUUGGGAAUGUGUGUGUCACAUGUACAGCAAAAUGACAUAGGUUUCUGAAUAAAAGCCCCAUUCUUUGAU